rnacentral:rRNA from 1 species
UACAGAGGUCUCAAGCGUUGUUCGGAUUCAUUGGGCGUAAAGGGUGCGUAGGCGGCGCGGUAAGUCGGGUGUGAAAUCUCGGAGCUUAACUCCGAAACUGCAUUCGAUACUGCCGUGCUUGAGGACUGGAGAGGAGACUGGAAUUCAUGGUGUAGCAGUGAAAUGCGUAGAGAUCAUGAGGAAGACCAGUGGCGAAGGCGGGUCUCUGGACAGUUCCUGACGCUGAGGCACGAAGGCCAGGGGAGCAAACGGG